CCUACGGGAGGCAGCAGUGGGGAAUAUUGCACAAUGGGGGAAACCCUGAUGCAGCGACGCCGCGUGAGUGAAGAAGUAAUUCUUUAUGUAAAGCUCUAUCAGCAGGGAAGAAAAUGACGGUACCUGAGUAAGAAGCCCCGGCUAACUACGUGCCAGCAGCCGCGGUAAUACGUAGGGGGCAAGCGUUAUCCGGAUUUACUGGGUGUAAAGGGAGCGUAGACGGCAGUGCAAGUCUGGAGUGAAAGGCGGGGGCUCAACCCCCGGACUGCUCUGGAAACUGUACGGCUGGAGUGCAGGAGAGGUAAGUGGAAUUCCUAGUGUAGCGGUGAAAUGCGUAGAUAUUAGGAGGAACACCAGUGGCGAAGGCGGCUUACUGGACUGUAACUGACGUUGAGGCUCGAAAGCGUGGGGAGCAAACAGGAUCAGAUACCCGGGUAGUC
rnacentral:rRNA from 1 species